CCCGUGCUUGAUUCAUCAUUUGGCCUAGUGUAGAAAACAAGGUUCGAAAUGAUUUCCCAAUCAUCUUCUUACAACCACUGCUACUGAUGGGGAUCGGAUGCACUGCAGUUCUCGGCCUUUGCAGUGAACAUUUUAUUUUUACCAUCUUUGAAAUCUGUCAGCCGAUCUUACGCCCUGUCACUCUGCAUUUUCUUUCAGUAUCCCCUACACGCCGUGUCUCGAGACUCAACCCCGCUGAGCUCUGGGGUCGUAGCUGCAGCUGCUUCGGCACUCCAAGACCAGAGAGGAAGCAAAGGCAGAGCUGCUCAGCCAGGCGUAUCUGCUUUGGCCUUGCAGGAAUCGCCGCCCACUGAGCUUCUGUCCAAACCUCAGUGGAUCAUAAUCUAAGUUUGGCAAACACUGAGCCGGGAGGAGUCAUGUCUGCGGGGCCCCAAGAGUCCCUGAAUUUGGGUCCUGAUCACCCUGCUCCACCCAGUCGAGUUGGCACAUGCACUCAGCCCAUAAGGAAAAAGGGA